UGGGGAAUAUUGCACAAUGGGCGCAAGCCUGAUGCAGCCAUGCCGCGUGUGUGAAGAAGGCCUUCGGGUUGUAAAGCACUUUCAGCGGGGAGGAAGGCGGUGAGGUUAAUAACCUCAUCGAUUGACGUUACCCGCAGAAGAAGCACCGGCUAACUCCGUGCCAGCAGCCGCGGUAAUACGGAGGGUGCAAGCGUUAAUCGGAAUUACUGGGCGUAAAGCGCACGCAGGCGGUCUGUCAAGUCGGAUGUGAAAUCCCCGGGCUCAACCUGGGAACUGCAUUCGAAACUGGCAGGCUAGAGUCUUGUAGAGGGGGGUAGGAUUCCAGGUGUAGCGGUGAAAUGCGUAGAGAUCUGGAGGAAUACCGGUGGCGAAGGCGGCCCCCUGGACGAAGACUGACGCUCAGGUGCGAAAGCGUGGAGAGCAAACAGG
rnacentral:rRNA from 1 species